AUGGGAUGGUUGAGGCCGGGGCCACGCCCCCUCUGCCCCCCUGCGAGGGCAUCCUGGGCUUUCUCCCACCGCUUUCCGAGCCCGCUUGCACCUCGGCGAUCCCCGACUCCCUUCUUUAUGGCGUCGCUCCUGUGCUGUGGGCCGAAGCUGGCCGCCUGCGGCAUCGUCCUCAGCGCCUGGGGAGUGAUCAUGUUGGUGAGGGGACUCCCCGGCAAGGAUCGGAGAGGGCCUGAGGGGCUCCGGGCUGGGAGGGCUGGGAGGCGAGGAAACUCUGGGCCGCAGGCAGGCCGGAGGGGCCGGGGAUCUACAGGCCCCGGAGAAGGAGACAGACUGAAAUUGAAAAAUGGGAACUGUUCGAGACCAGCCUGACCAACAUGGUGAAACCCCGUCUCCAAUAAAAAUACAAAAAUUAGCCGGGCGUGGUGGCGCCCGCCUGUAAUCCCAGCUACUCAGGAGGCUGAGGCAGGAGAAUCGCUUGAAUCCGGGAGGCGGAGGGUGCAGUGAGCCGAGAUCGCGCCACUGCACUCCAGCCUGGGUGACAGAGCGAGACUCCGUCCCCAAAGAAAAAGAAAAAAGGGAACUGGAGCGGAGGGCCCUGGAGUGGGAGGAGCCAGGGCUGGUAAAGGUGGAGACCCCUCAAGGUAGGAGAAACAAGAGCGGGGUGCCUGAGAGGUGCUUGAGUUGAAUGGAGGACAUGGGAGGAAAAGAGAGUGCUUGUUCCAGAAAUGUGUAGCUGGGCCUUGUUUUCCCAGUAAUCCACCCACCGCCACUUCAAGAAGAAAUGAUAUGAAGAAGUGCCGGUUCUCCCUCCCCUCUUCCGCACUGUCCCGUGAUGAUGACGCCUCCAGAGAGGACGAUAAUCUGGGUUCCUGGGAGAGAUGGCUUGGUCACUAUUCCCACCCUUGCCUCGACCACUUGUCUCAAUGUCACCACCUCACGCCCUGUUCCAGAUAAUGCUCGGAAUAUUUUUCAAUGUCCAUUCCGCUGUGUUGAUUGAGGACGUUCCCUUCACGGAGAAAGAUUUUGAUCCACCUCUGCAAAAUGGCUAUGACAGAUCUCACCCCAUAGGAUGGUCAAGAAGAUUGAAUAAAGUAAUACACGUAACAGCGCCUAAACAGGUGUCGGGCACAUAGUGCUCAGAAAAUGUUGGCUCCUAUUAAAGUUUGACCCCUUUGCUUCAUUCCCACCCCCAGGAAUGGCCCCCAGAACAUAUACAACCUUUACGAGCAAGUCAGCUACAACUGUUUCAUCGCUGCAGGCCUUUACCUCCUCCUCGGAGGCUUCUCUUUCUGCCAAGUUCGGCUCAAUAAGCGCAAGGAAUACAUGGUGCGCUAGGGCCCCGGCGCGUUUCCCCGCUCCAGCCCCUCCUCUAUUUAAAGACUCCCUGCACCGUGUCACCCAGGUCGCGUCCCACCCUUGCCGGCGCCCUCUGCGGGACUGGGUUUCCCGGGCGAGAGACUGAAUCCCUUCUCCCAUCUCUGGCAUCCGGCCCCCGUGGAGAGGGCUGAGGCUGGGGGGCUGUUCCGUUUCUCCACCCUUCGCUGUGUCCCGUAUCUCAAUAAAGAGAAUCUGCUCUCUUCAG
rnacentral:misc_RNA from 1 species